rnacentral:lncRNA from 1 species
CUGCUCUGGAUUUUGGACCUGUUUUCUGGAUAUUUAAUUCUGUAAAUUAUUUUUCCAUUAUUAAUCAGAGCAAAGGAGAGCAUCCAGUGGACUACAUCCAGCAGAGAGCAUCACUGCUUUCCAGUGAUUGAUUCCAAGAAGCCAUGCAGGAUGAGAGGUCUGUGAGCACUUGUCCAGGCUAAACCCAUAGGUGUGUGACUGAGCAUUAAAAUGGAAUUUGGUUUCUCAGUCUGCAAAGCAAAUGUUCCUAAGUCACAAAGUUGAAUGGAAAGCUGUGUGUCUUCUGGCUGCCCUGAGACAUGCUGUGCAGGAGGAGCCAUUCAAAAUCAAAAGAGCUUUUUCCAAGACACAAACCACUCAUAGGCAACUAUUUUGCUUACUUUUAAUAAGAGCUGGGGAUCUAAUUCCCAUAUAUACCUUAGGCAUUUUUUUUCUGCAGUGUUUCCUUAUCACUCUGUACACAAAAGUAGCCAUGAUUUUUUUUUUCUGAGCAGCGAAUGUUCUGAAUGCAAACUUAUGUGGAGUUUUUAAUUGUGUUUUAGAGAAAAGAGUUGACAACUGCUAUGGAAGCUGCAGUGGUAGUUGAAGGGGCCCAUCUUGAUGAGCAGAUUUUUGGUGGAUGGUAUCACCUGGUGAGAGGCUUCCUGGUGUAAAGCUAGUGGAGGUGCGAUGCUCUACAUCUGCUUCAGCACAGAAUCUGCUGCUGUAGUCAUUUUCAACAAUGGGAACUUUCACAAGGAGUACACACACAAGGGAGCAAGAAGGAAGGAGAAUGCUCUCAGUAUGCCUAUUUCCAGGGGGAAAGAAAAAAACAAACGAAGAACUCGAGGUUGUAUUUCCAGCAAUACUGAAGGACAAAGAGGAUCUCAAGGCAUUGCCCCAGGCCUUAUAUCUCUGCCAUUGUGGAAUUGUGUUCUGAUACUUCCAAAACUCCAUCUGGAACCUACUUGCAUUUUAAGCUGCCUUUAGUCCAGUACAGGAUUUUGGGGACUGUGGUAACAGCUAGAUUCUUUAUGAUUCUGCCAUGUGGCAUGACAAACCCAAGUGCACGCUGGCAUGUUUAACAAGGACAAGAUAAAGAGUGCCAGCACGAGUUAUGUUGGGAAGGAAUGAUGCAAGCUUUUGUUGCUGCUUUGCUUUCGCACCUUCCAGCCUUUUGACCAAGCUGUGCCACAAAAAUGUGAGAAACAUGUCAUUUGCUGGAGGGGUGAGGAAAUACUGCUAUUCUGAGCAGGAAAGAAUAAAGUCAGUCACUGAGCCA